AUUGAACGCUAGCGGGAUGCUUUACACAUGCAAGUCGAACGAGUGGAGGACGGGCGAGUAAUAUAUUGGCACGUGCCCAGUAGCGGGGGCUAAGUACUCGAAAGAGUGGCUAAUACCGCAUACUAUUGGAGCGGCCGAUACUGGAUUAGCUAGUCGGUGGGGUAAAGGCUCACCAAGGCAACGAUCCGUAGCUGGUUUGAGAGGACGACCAGCCACACUGGGACUGAGACACGGCCCAGACUCCUACGGGAGGCAGCAGUGGGGAAUUUUGGACAAUGGAGGAAACCCUGAUCCAGCCAUCCCGCGUGUAUGAGAAGGCCUUCGGGUUGUAAAGUACUUUUGGCAGAGAAGCGGUAUCUGCAGAAUAAGCACCGGCUAACUACGUGCCAGCAGCCGCGGUAAUAC
rnacentral:rRNA from 1 species